rnacentral:rRNA from 1 species
AGUGGCAAACGGGUGAGUAACGCGUAGGUAACCUGCCUUAAAGUCGGGAAUAGCUCAGCGAAAGCUGAGGUAAUACUCGAUAGUCUCCAAUCACUUCGGUGUUUUGGAGUAAAGUUUCGGCGCUUUAAGAGGGGCCUGCGUCCUAUCAGCUAGUUGGUGAGGUAAAAGCUCACCAAGGCUAAGACGGGUAGCUGGUGUGAGAGCAUGUUCAGCCACCAUGGAACUGAGACACGGUCCAUACUCCUACGGGAGGCAGCAAUUAGGAAUCUUGCGCAAUGGGGGCAACCCUGACGCAGCGACACAGCGUGGAGGAGGAAGGUCUUCGGAUUGUAAACUCCUUUUAUGAGGGACGAAUAGAUGACGGUACCUCUUGAAUAAGUACCUGCUAACUACGUGCCAGAAGCAUCGGUGAUGCGUAGGGUACAAACGUUAUCCGGAGUUAUUGGGCGUAAGAGAUGGUGGCGGUUAUAAGUCUAAGGUUAAAGUCCACGGCUCAACCGUGGAAAAGCUUUGGAUACUGUUAGGCUUGAGAUAUAGAGGGGUGAAUGGAAUCCAAGUGGAGUGGUGAAAUACGUUGAUAUUUGGAAGAACACCAGUGGCGAAGGCGAUUCACUGGCUAUUAUCUGACGCUAAGGCUCGAAAGUAUGGGUAGCAAAACGGAUUAGAUACCCGUGUAGUCCAUACCGUAAACGAUGAAUGCUAGGUGUU